rnacentral:rRNA from 1 species
GAUGAACGCUAGCGACAGGCUUAACACAUGCAAGGUCGAGGGGCAGCAUAAAAAGUAGCAAUACGUUUGGUGGCGACCGGCGCACGGGUGAGUAACGCGUAUGCAACCUACCUAUCAGGAGGGGGAUAACCCGGCGAAAGUCGGACUAAUACCGCAUAAAACAGGGGCACCGCAUGGUGAUAUUUGUUAAAAAUUUAUUGCUGAUAGAUGGGCAUGCGUUCCAUUAGGUAGUUGGAGAGGUAACGGCUCACCAAGCCAACGAUGGAUAGGGGAACUGAGAGGUUGGUCCCCCACACUGGUACUGAGACACGGACCAGACUCCUACGGGAGGCAGCAGUGAGGAAUAUUGGUCAAUGGGCGAGAGCCUGAACCAGCCAAGUCGCGUGAAGGAAGAAGGAUCUAUGGUUCGUAAACUUCUUUUGCAGGGGAAUAAAGUGCAGGACGUGUCCUGUUUUGUAUGUACCCUGAGAAUAAGGAUCGGCUAACUCCGUG